UGGGGAAUAUUGGACAAUGGGCGAAAGCCUGAUCCAGCCAUGCCGCGUGUGUGAAGAAGGUCUUCGGAUUGUAAAGCACUUUAAGUUGGGAGGAAGGGCAGUAAGCGAAUACCUUGCUGUUUUGACGUUACCGACAGAAUAAGCACCGGCUAACUCUGUGCCAGCAGCCGCGGUAAUACAGAGGGUGCAAGCGUUAAUCGGAAUUACUGGGCGUAAAGCGCGCGUAGGUGGUUCGUUAAGUUGAAUGUGAAAGCCCCGGGCUCAACCUGGGAACUGCAUCCAAAACGGGCGAGCUAGAGUAGGGCAGAGGGUGGUGGAAUUUCCUGUGUAGCGGUGAAAUGCGUAGAUAUAGGAAGGAACACCAGUGGCGAAGGCGACCACCUGGGCUCAUACUGACACUGAGGUGCGAAGGCGUGGGGAGCAAACAGG
rnacentral:rRNA from 1 species